UCCAACAGUCCCCCCUCCCAGGAAUCAC
rnacentral:piRNA from 1 species